rnacentral:rRNA from 1 species
UACGUAGGGUCCGAGCGUUGUCCGGAUUUAUUGGGCGUAAAGAGCUCGUAGGCGGCUCAGUAAGUCAGAUGUGAAAACUCAGGGCUCAACCCGGAGACGCCAUCUGAUACUGCUGUGGCUUGAGUCUGGUAGGGGAUCACGGAAUUCCCGGUGUAGCGGUGAAAUGCGCAGAUAUCAGGAGGAACACCGAUGGCGAAGGCAGUGAUCUGGGCCAGUACUGACGCUGAGGAGCGAAAGCGUGGGUAGCAAACAGG